CCACCUUUCAGGGAAUGGCGAAGUUUUCCAAGCAAAAUCUCCAGUUGCUCAACCAGAGAAAAAGCCAAUUCACCCACCCAUCUGAUUCAAAGAAGAGGGAGAGCCCCUCAACUUCCACCAAACGCCUCCCCCAGGAGGAGGCUGGCAGAAAAUACUGCAGCGGUGCAGAAGCUGGGGGGUGUGCGAGAGGGCAACCCAACUUCGCAGAGUGUGUGGACCCCACCUUCACCCCUCGAUACCCAGCUCCAGCUCGGAAGAGGGGGCCUAUCUGAAGGAGACCUCUCUUGAGGACACUGAGGUAAUACAGCUAAUGGAGAGGUGCAAGACAAGACCUGGUAAACUAGAGUGUAGUGUCUUGAUUUGUCUAAUGCCAACCAACAAGCUGCAACCUUGGGAUUUGAAUGCAGGCAUGGCCAACUCCAACAUCCAGUCUCUCGAUCAUAAUGUAUGUUGAUGAAAGAAAAAUCUUCUCCAUCAUCAGACAAGCUGAUGAUAAGGGCUAACGUGCUCCCAGAACAAAAAGAAUCCAGGCCACAGGUAAAAAGAAGACUAAAUCAAGCUAGCUUCCUCUUCCUUUAACUGAUGAGUUAGCUGGCUUGCAUGUCACUGUGUGUAUGUGAUGUGAGGAGUACCCUGAGCUUCCUCAUUCAGUAUAUGUUCCCUUACCUUCUCAUAGAGGACAGUCUGUUUUGUAUGUUUUGAAAAGUUCCCUGACAGGUAAAUUGUCAGCACCAACGUAAUUCUAUAUUAAUCUGUGUAUGAUCAGGCAGAUGCGUUAGACUCUCCUGUUUCUGCCUGACUGCAAUCUGGCUGGCCACUCCUUGAUACCCAUAUUUCAAGAAGGGCAAGAAUUAAAAAAAAAAAAAAACUAAACUCAGAAGAUUUCUAUUUCUGGCAAUAUGGUAGACUAGAUAUCCUGAUGGUCCUUCCCGCUAACAACUAAAAAAUGCUGCAUAAAAUAAAACACUAACAAAGAGAGAAAAAUUCUUUUAAAAAAGCUUGAUGAGCUAUCAAAACAGGAAUAUUCAGAGGCACAAAUGUAGUGAGUGCAGAAACCCAUAAAAUCAAGGGACGCCUUGAGGAUACAUUUUUAGAACCUGUGGAACUGGG